AAAGGUUCUUCAACUGUUUAUUUUCACAAACAUUAGAAAUUUACAGCAAAAAUUGAAAGGUAUUGGACCUAUUUUCCAUGUUUUGAAAAGGUUUAGGGGCCUAAAACGCAUUUUCCGUAGAUUUAUUCUUCGUAUUGACUAUUGAGCGUUGCGCUUUCUUUUAAGUCGCCUCGUUUUGCUAAUUGGGUUGUCUUUAGUAUUGGAAAAUAGCUUCUGAUUUUGCCAAAAAUUGCUUGAUGUUGGAGUUAAAGGCGAGAAACUAUUUUAAUCCCUUUUUAGCUUUAAUGUUUUGUGCUUUGAUUUCUCUGCUGCUUUCUCUUUUGUUUUUGUUUUUGCUUUUUACUUUUAAUUGAACUGAAGUUGGUGUUUGCUUUCUCUUUCGAUUUGCGAGAGAUUUGUGUUAAUGACUAUUUUGGGUUGGAAAAUAGGUGUUAACUUUGUUGGUAUGUGGCGUUAUCUUGGUUGAACUGUUAAUGGCUUUUCCCAACUUUCGGGUUUAAAAGGCGUCUUCUUAUCAAAUCAAGCAUAGGAAUGGUCUCAGUUUUGGGAUUUCUGAAAUCUUCUUUUGUAUUAAGGUUUGCUUGAAGUUUUUGUUGAUGAUUGGUACGUAAGUGUUACGUCUUUGUGAAUUGGGCAACUGGGAUUUAUAAAUUUGACACCUAAAUUUUGGAUAUUAUGGUCUCUAAUUUAUGAAAAUUUUCCCCAUUUUCUCUUGUACGACUUUGAAUGAUUUUCUCGGGCUUAGCCUCCAACGUAUUACCCAUACUUUGUUGCAACCAGUUUACUUGAAUUUCUGCUUGUUAACAAUUUUCGAAUUCUUUUCUCCAGCUCAUUCUAGCUUCUCGAUUUGGGGCUUGGUUCAUCAUCAUGCAGUUCUAAAAGGUGAAUUCAGUUUAAAGAUUGAUAUGUCGGUCUGUUAAGUUCUAAUAUUCUGCAGUGAUUUAGGCUUCUUUAACUUUUCUGAGAUUCAUAGUAAUUAUUAACUCCGCUUUUUGUGAGGGGAGAGUUCUUUGGUAUGAGGAGAGUGGGAAGUGUUAAGAGUUAGAGACGCAUUUUCUAAUUAUAGCAAUUAAUUAUGCAAUUUGCGAUUAUGCUUUGUUAACCAUCUCAUCCAAAACUUAAGUGGUUAGACAGGGUUACAUGUAUUCAUAUAAAUCUUGUCUUCAAUGUGCUCCCAACCUGCUGACCAAAUUCAUUUUCUGAUUAAAUUUCUAACACAGUGUACAAUUUUGAUAAACAUGUAGCGGGAAAACUUGCAUUAGCCAUAUAAAUCUGGUCUUCAUAUAUCUUGCAUGCCACACAGCUUAUAAAAUGUUGCAAGGUUUCAUUUAAGGUUCAACUUGGAGUGGCUAGGUUUUUCAAGAAACUUGUUCUUUUGUUUUUUUGCAGGGUAAUUUCUAAGAUCGUCAUGGAUUCCCCUCAGUCAGUUGUGUCACCAUUCAAGAGUUCUUCAAUUUUUGCCGAGCCCGAGAAACAGAACACCAAUCUUCUUGCAGAGAACCCUAGCCACUUAUCAAGGGGAUUUGCU
rnacentral:lncRNA from 1 species